AGCGAACGCUGGCGGCAGGCCUAACACAUGCAAGUCGAACGAAGUCUUCGGACUUAGUGGCGGACGGGUGAGUAACACGUGGGAACGUGCCUUUAGGUUCGGAAUAACUCAGGGAAACUUGUGCUAAUACCGAAUGUGCCUUUCGGGGGAAAGAUUUAUCGCCUUUAGAGCGGCCCGCGUCUGAUUAGCUAGUUGGUGGGGUAAUGGCCCACCAAGGCUACGAUCAGUAGCUGGUCUGAGAGGAUGACCAGCACAUUGGGACUGAGACACGGCCCAAACUCCUACGGGAGGCAGCAGUGGGGAAUCUUGCGCAAUGGGCGAAAGCCUGACGCAGCCAUGCCGCGUGGAUGAUGAAGGUCUUAGGAUUGUAAAAUCCUUUCACCGGUGAAGAUAAUGACUGUAGCCGGAGAAGAAGCCCCGGCUAACUUCGUGCCAGCCGCCGCGGUAAAAC
rnacentral:rRNA from 1 species